AUUUGGUAAUUGCUGCAUUUGAACACCCACAGGAGGUUAUCUCUUUUGAUGAUGAAGAGUCUCUUGUGGACGGCUCUUCAAACUUGUCCAACAUUCCUUACCCGUCAAGUUCACCCAGGACAGAGAAUUCUAAUGGAAGCAAGGUUCUGGCUUCACACAAGAUGGGUGGAUUUGAUUAUGCACAACCAAAUGCUGCUUCUCCAGAUAUCAUUUCAUCUAUGUAUUCUGUUGGGAGUGUGAGCAGCUUGGAUGAUUAUGCCUUGCACAGUAUUGAAAAUAUGGGUCUUAGAUAUGAUCAGACUCUGAGUUUCCCAGGCCAAGUCUCCAACCCUCUCAUAUGUGACACUGAUGCCAUGACGCAAGCUUUCUGUGAUGAGGAUCAUCUGCGGUUUUUUGACACAGAAUUUCAGUCUCAGAACCUUAGUUUGGAAGCACCAGCUGAUUUACAAAGUGCUUUGGAUGGCUUCCUAUUGACUCGUUCUACAGCUGUUGCAGUUGAUAGGGCUCAGAGGAGAUGGACAAAGAUCUCGAGUGUGUUGAAAUGGUUCUCUAUUAGGAGACGUGUGGCUUCAAAAAAGACGUGUGUUCGAGAAAUUCAUAGAUAUUAGUGGAAUAUGAAAAAUGUUAUCAUUAGAGUGGCAAAUAUAGUAUAGACAGUGCUGCCCGAGUAAAAUUGCGUGCAGUUUUGGAGACAAGUUGGCGUCAAAAGUUGUAGAUACAUCUGAUCUAU
rnacentral:misc_RNA from 1 species